rnacentral:lncRNA from 1 species
CUGAUGGAUUACCCUGGCCAAGGUUUUGCUAAAUUGAAAUACAGCGACUCAUUCUUCUCCAACUCUUGGAGUGGUCAAUCCCAUCUCGAUCACACUCUAACUUCGUAAGUACUUGACUGUGCCCAGAAGCCUUCCAUCCCUGAAUUAGAAAUUCAGUUAGUCCAGUACCAAAGCACAGUGAGUUGCUUGCAAGUCACUGAGGCGAUCUCAAGUCUAAGGGACACUUAUACCUAUAUCUCAUC